rnacentral:rRNA from 1 species
UACGUAGGGGGCGAGCGUUGUCCGGAUUUAUUGGGCGUAAAGAGCUCGUAGGCGGCUUGGCAAGUCGGAUGUGAAAACUCCAGGCUCAACCUGGAGCCGCCAUUCGAUACUGCUAUGGCUAGAGUCCGGUAGGGGAGUGUGGAAUUCCCGGUGUAGCGGUGAAAUGCGCAGAUAUCGGGAGGAACACCGAUGGCGAAGGCAGCACUCUGGGCCGGCACUGACGCUGAGGAGCGAAAGCGUGGGGAGCGAACAGG